rnacentral:rRNA from 1 species
UACGUAGGGUGCAAGCGUUGUCCGGAAUUAUUGGGCGUAAAGAGCUCGUAGGCGGUCUGUCGCGUCUGCUGCGAAAACUCGGGGCUUAACCCCGGGCCUGCAGUGGGUACGGGCAGACUAGAGUGCGGUAGGGGAGACUGGAAUUCCUGGUGUAGCGGUGAAAUGCGCAGAUAUCAGGAGGAACACCGGUGGCGAAGGCGGGUCUCUGGGCCGUAACUGACGCUGAGGAGCGAAAGCGUGGGGAGCGAACAGG